AACCCAUGGUGAGGGCACUUCUCAAAAGAUCCUUAUAUCUCUCCCAUGCAUCAUAGAGUGUUUCUAAAUCCAUCUGCACAAAAGAAGAGAUGUCAUUCCUUAACUU
rfam:Gossypium arboreum cultivar AKA8401 contig_43799_1, whole genome shotgun sequence.